AAGCAUAUAAGUAAGUGGUGGUAAAAAAACCACAAGGGAUUUCCUAAGUAAUGGCGAAUGAAGAGGAAAGAGCUUAUAACUAAAACCUAAGCACUUGUGCUUCGGAUUGUUUUAUCUUGAUGUGUGACCAGUCGGCCCGCGCGUGUAUGUUUUUUGGAAAAGGCAUGAUGAAAGGUGAGAAUCCUGUUCAGCACGCGUGAUACCGACGUACGGUCCAUAUUCACAGAGUCGUGUUCCCUGGGACGGGAGCGCAAAUUGGGAGGUAUAUUUCUCCUGAAGCUCAAUAUCUUCUCGAGUCCGAUAGUGAACAAGUACCGUGAGGGAAAGGUGCAAAGUACUUUGAAAAGAGAGUUAAACGCGCCUGAAAUCGCUGCAGUAUAAGCACUUUGAACCUGUAUGUCUGUGGGACUGGGGCUCACGCUUCUUGCCGGCCCUGCUUCGAGCGUAAGUACGGAGUAGGUAGUCUUAGAGUUGCGCGUGUUCUGAAUCCCACAAUGUCAGCUGACACGAGUUCAUAUGUUGUGAUGAUCCUUUCGGUUCUCAGCUCCUAGAGUUGCGUCCGAGAUGGACACCUACUGUGGACUGUUGUUGCAGGUAGCUGCCACCCCUUGUUCGAAGUUUUCUGACCGGAGAGCCCAGCACAUGUGCCGCACUCCUGAUGGAUUCUACAGCAAGGCACAGUCUACCCGCGGUGUCGGCGUAGAAGGUUUAAAUUGACCCGUCUUGAAACACGGACCAAGGAGUCCACACACAUGCGCGAGUACAUGUACUAGAUCUUCAUGUGCGUAAUGAACGUAACAGUUGGGAUUUUUGCACCAACGGCCGACUUUCGAUCUACGGAGAGAGGUUUGAGUGUGAGCGUGUGUGUUGGGACCCGAAAGAUGGUGAACUAUAUCUGAGUAGGGUGAAGCCAGAGGAAACUCUGGUGGAGGCUCGUAGCGAUACUGACGUGCAAAUCGUUCGUCACACUUGGACAUAGGGGCGAAAGACUAAUCGAACCAUCUAG
rnacentral:rRNA from 1 species